AGUCAAAGAUUCCAAAAGUUCAUUUAGAAGUCAGUUGAUUGGACCUCUUAAACUUACUUUCAGAACACUAUUUGGCACAAGGGGGCAACUUCAGAGAAGCCUGAGAAGAUUGCAAGGUGCCAGAACCUGAAACCAGAUCUGCCCUCUUGGGAAAGGCUGGCUCUGGAACAGCUCUCAGGUGUGCUGUUCAGAGCAGAAAUAUGGAUGUAGAUGACCAGAAGGUAUGCCUAAGAAGACCCACAAAAGCAUCAUUUAUAUCAUCUUGACCCAGAGCCAAGCCAGAUGUCCAGCAGAAGAAUCGACACAUGUUCUUGGAAUGCCACACAUUAGAAUCCUGCUCAGCAGUGAACCAACACUCCAUUGCUGUGCAGGUAAUUUGGCUUCCAAGAGCACCCUGCUGGCAGCUGUAAGGAAGUGCAGGAUCCCCUCCUGGAAAGAGAGACCACACAUAGAAGCUACAGAAGAUGAGAAGAGCCAAGACCCUCAGCAUGUCAGUGGCCAUCACAACCCAGACAAGUCCUGGAUAACUAUAGGGGAAAUUUAGCCACGCCCUCUCGGGGGCUGGCACAGGUGACGCAGACCACGCACGCACACUAGGGCGUGGUCAGAGUGACGUAGCAAGACCUUAAAUAUGAGGGUCCCAUGCAGGAGGCUACCUCUGUUCCAGGGUUCGCCUGGUGACUCGUCGUGUG
rnacentral:lncRNA from 1 species